CUCAAUCAAAGGGUUGAAUCUCAAACGAUAUUGAUACAACCUCCAAAUCUAGAAAAAUAUAAUUGAAGCGAUAAGCUUAUCAUCAAUUAAUCAUGAUUCACUUGUAGCGGGUUUAUUGACAGCGAAAGCAUAAAGGAAACUUAAACUAUUUCAAAUACUUCCAAAGUCUUGGUUUUGUACCUGAAGACACCAUAAAUCUCACAGGUACGAAUACUAAACCAAUAGGAAUGCUUUUGACUUUGGUUCUUGAUUGAAACAUUUGUGUUUGUCGGUAUUUUUGCAACUUGUAAUCCUUUCCUACUAGAACUGAUUACAUUCUGUCACAACUGUUAUGUAUUAUUUCUCAUUUUUCUCUUAAUAUGUGUUGUCCCUAGUCUGUCUAGAUUUAGGAUUUUUCUACCCAAACUAAGGAUGUCUUGAAAAUGCUAAAUAGUGUAAUCACCUGCAAAAAUUCAAAAAAAACGUUAGCAAAAAAAUCAGCAAGGGUAUUUUCUUCCCAAAGGGAAUGUUGUACUCUCACUAAUAUAUUCCUUCUUAUCCUAUUAAUGUGGUUUAACUUCCAUCACAACACACCAAUGAGGCUUCCAACUGCUUUUCAAAAUCUCUACUAUAGUCAUUGAGUAAGAUUCAAUAAUAAUAUAAUUCAAUGUUUGCUCCAACAGUACAAUAAUCCUUUUAUAAUUGCUCUAUUAAUAGAAUUAAGUAAUUUGAUUCCUUUAGCCAUUAUAAAUUUUCCCUGAGAAUCUCUUAAACAAAAAGCAACAGAACUUGGCCCAAGGUUGCCUUUAGAGGCACCACCAGUGUUUUAUUUGAUCUAGUUUCCCAAAGGAGGCAUCCAUAUCACUAUUCUAAAGUUAUACUCAUGUCUAUAUACCUCCAAAGCAGUAACCAUUUCAGAUCGACUCUUACUAUUCCAGUCAAACUUGAAACUAAAUUUGAUGAAUUUAGUUAAGAUAGCAUUCACUUCUUUGAUGAUCUUUAAAGUAUAAAAAUAUACAUCAUGUAAUAUGGUGUUUCUCUUUUUCCAUAAAAAACACAUUAUAACCAGAGAAACUACCUGGAAAACUGCUUUACACCUAGGAUUCUCAUCAGAUUCCCACCACUUUCUAACACUCUGCUUCAGAGAGUUUCCGGUAGUCAGACCUAUAGAUGUGGAAUGAUAGUUCCAUAUCCUCUCUGAAGUUUCACCCCUUAGAAAUAGAUGCUAAAUAGGCUCUCUCUCUCUCUCUCUCUGGAUUCACACAACAAUUACAAUCAGAUGACACAUCUGGGUUCCAUAUGUUUAAAAUAUGAGCAACAACAACUUUUCCUUCUCAAACUUUCCAAGCAAUAAUAAUGAGACUUUAUUUUCUACCCAAAACCCUCCUAAAAAAUGGGUUGGCAUGACCAUUCUGAAAAUGGAAUGAACAGGAACUUCCUGAAAAAUGAGACUUUAUUUUAUGUUUGGGAUUCUUCUUAAAAAUGAAAUUUAGCUUAGCAAGGCCCGCCUGAGAAAUAGGAUUAACAAGAUUCUCCUAGAAAAUGAAAAUUUCUUUAUCAUAAACCUUUUAAGAUAAAUUUAUUCCAAAUCACUAUCGAUUUUGGUUUCGGAAACCCGCUUGGAUAAUAAGGUGAAGACUUUAGAGUUCAGGAGCUCACUUAAAACAGAGUCGAUUUUAAGUUCAUGCAGCAGGAGCCAGCCUAAAAAACAAGGUCAACUUCAAAAUUGAAGUAGCAAGAGCCCGCAUGAAGAACAGGAUCAACUUCUAAAUUGAAGUAGUUGGAACCCACUGAGAGGAUAGGGUUCAUUUCAAGUUCAACUCAAGCUAAUGACUCAUUAACUCACCACUUGAGAAGUCAUGAAGAUUCAAGUCAAGAUUGAAGAAAAGUUGCAUAGAUAGAUCUUGCACUUAUAUUUUUAUUUUUUGUUUUGUCCUUCAUUUUGAUGUAAUGAAAGGAGCCGCAUACCAGACCCUUGAUGGAAUCUUAUUCAACCGCAAACUCAUUAUUUCAUAUCUCUGAACAACAUGUGACCAGAAUCUCUUAUAACCCGAGAUAUGUACGUUGUCCAAAAUCAAGAGUCAUUCACAUCUUUUCCUUUUUUCCUUUUCCAAUUCAAAUAAUAGUCAGAUCAAUAUUUUUUUUGUUGGCUUUUUCUUUGCUUGAAAACUCUUCAUUUUUUCAGUAAAAAAAAUAAAUAAAUGUAGACAUGUUAUUUUUGACCCUCCCUCAACUUUUUUUUUAAAACCAUAAUUUGGGUAUAAAGCCCAUUUAUAACUAAAAAAUAUUCUUUCAUAAGGAAAGGGCCAGGUCCAAAAAUGACCCGGCCCAAAGAAAAUUAAACAAAUUACAUUCAGACAAAAUUAAAAAUGGAAAGCCAAUUUAGGAAACUAUAAAAGCCGAUAAGCUUCUUGACCAACAAUUCCUUAGCUUCCAACUUUGUUAAUCUUCAAGUUCUUGACUAAGCUGAACUUUAGGCCAUAAAAUUAUGUGAAAUCAGCUAUCCGCUACUGAAAUCAACGUCAUUUGAUGAAGAUUUUUGUUCAUCCAUCCUCUACAUAAAUCAGAUAAGUGUCUCUCCUUUCAAUCUCAUAUAAACACUUUCAUUUCCCUCUUUCUCCUUCUGGGUGGAUUGAACCUAUAACCCUCCCUCAACUUUAAUCUAUUUUUAACAUUAAAUAUUUAUCUUAGCUUUAUUUUAUUUUUAAUAGAUUUUAUUUGAUAAAACUAAAAAUAACAAAAAUAGUUAUGUUUUUAGAUACACCACUUUUAAAAAAAUUAAGGAAAAGAGAAAAUUUUACAAAAAAAGGGUCAAACCCAAUAGGAUAUUGCCACACAUUAUGUUCUAUUCCAAUCUGUAUUCGUGGCAUAUUCCAUUGAAGAGGAGAAUAUUUCAUGCUUCCUACCUAAAUGUUAUUUAUCCUUAUCUAAAAUUAAAGGGCAUUUUAGAAAAAGACUAGCUAAAAAUAAACACCAAAGACUAUACCUAGUAGGCUCUAUAAAUAGAAACCGAUAAGAAACCAAUAGAAGGGAGGAUCCAAUAAUUAAGAAAUCAGCCACAAAAAGCGUGAAGAAGCAGCCGUGAGACCCCUUUUACUUCUUCCAAAAGCCUUAGAGCUAAGAAAGAAAGAAUAAUAGGAAAAAGCUCCAAAAAAACAACUCACACAAAGACACCACGAACCACCUGAAAAAAAUCAUAAAACUCAUCAUUUAAACUCUCUGAAUAUUAUAUGAUGAGUUUCAUGGUGUUUUUUAGGUGGUUUGUGACAUUUUUUGUAUGAGUUGAUUUUUGGAGUUUUUUCCUAUUAUUCUUCCUUUCUUAGCUCCAAGGCUUUUGAAAGAAGAAAAAGGGGUCUCACGGUUGCUUCUUUAUAAUUAUUGUGAUUGAUUCUUAAUGAUUAGAUCCCUCCCUUUCCUUGAUUUCUUAUAGGUUUCUAUUUAUAAACUCUACUAGGUCUAGAGUUUGGUAUUUAUUUUUAGCUAGUCCUUUCCUAAAUGCCUUGAAUUUUAGGACAAAAUUAAAAAAAUUUAGGGAGGAAGAAUGGAAUAUUCUCCCCUCCAAUGGAAUAUGCUAUGAACAGAGAUUGAGAGAGAAUGUAAUGUGUGGCAACAUCCUAUUGGGUUUAACCAUUUUUUGUAAAAUUUCUUUCUUCCUAGAAAAUAAAAAAACCAAAGUAAUGUAUUUAAAAACAUGACUAUUUUUGUGGUUUUAAAUUUUAUCAAAUAAAAUCUACUAAAAAUAAAAUAAAAACUAAAACAAGUAUUUAAUGUUAAAAAUAGGUUAAAACUUGGAGAGAAUUAAAAAUCAUAUAUGUACACAUAUUUGACACCGGAUACAUCUAUCUUUGAUACCAGAUAUAUGCACCUGACUGCAUUGUAUAAAAUUGAUAUUAGAUACAUCAAACUAAUGUUGGAUGCACUAGAAGAAAUUGAUAUUAGAUACUCUAGACGGAGUUGGUACUGGAUACACUAGAUGAAAUCAAUAAUAGAAACAAACACACCAGAUACAUUAAGAAAACACACUAACAAAAAACAUCAUGAAUCACAUAUACAGUAAAUGGAUUUUUGAUGAAUUGAAUAAUAAAGUGACUCUGAAAUUGAUAGAAUAGAAUUUAUUUUGUCUUGGUCUUUUUUUAGCUCAAAGACAUGUUAUUUCCUCAGAGUUAUUACACCCUUCAUUUUUGUCUAAUUUAAAGAGAUUUAAAUACAAAAAAUAUUUUAUUUUUACAAGAAAAUAAAAUCGGACGCACGUGUACCUCAAAUACAUGUAUCCAACGUGUGUGUCUUGAAUGAAUCUCAGACAAGUUUUGUAACUUUUAAAACUCCUAUUUCAACUAGCACUUAUGUAGUAUAAUAUUGUGUUUUAUGUAGUUUUCUCCCUUUUUACCAGAAUUCAAUGAGGAAAUUACACCUAAUGUAUCCUAAAUGUCUGUCUUUAAACUUUUGUCCUCACUUAAUAAAUAAUUUUAAAAUGACUUUUACUUUAAAAAAAUAGCUGGAAAGAAGUUGUGCUAUCCAUCACACACAAGUUCUAACUUUUGCCUAUAAGAUAGAAUUUGUGGUCAAUAGAACAUGUUCACUAUCUUGAAUAUUCUGAACUUUUGCUUUAUGGGCACUCGUUAGAACUUAUGCCUAAUAUGGACGACAUACCUAAGUUUUAAGUUUUGCCUAAAAGAGAAUACUUCUGGUCAAUUAAGCAGGUGUACAAUUUUAAAAUGUCAUGAACGUCUGUCAUAGAGGCUAAAGUUAGAAUUUAUGUCUGAUGGACAACAUAUCUAAGUUCUAACUUCUGUCUAUAAGGUAAAACUUCUGAUCAAUUAAGAAAGAAGAAACUUACAGAUAUUCAAAGAGAAUAAUCGUGGAGCAUUUUGAAGAAGGACGUCAAAAGCUUCAACGGUGAAGAGUAACUUUUGGGUUUUUUAUUUAGGAUAAAGAGACUGACCAACCAAAGACUGAAAACAUCUAAAUCUACAAAAAAUAUAGAAGCUAAGGAAAAUUCUCGACCAUAAAGGUCGAAGUUGAACCACAACUUUGUAUAUCUAUGGAAACCAUAUCAAGAUAAAAAUAGAAAAAAUAAUCUUAAAAGAGGAAGAAGACACUUACAAAGUAUUCAAAGAGAAUAAUUGUGCUUAGAGACACUGGAGCAUUCUACAGUAGGACAUCAAAAGCUUCAAUGAGGAACAGAACCCUUUGGGUUUCCUAUUUCAAACAAAGAGACCAAUUAAUAAAAGAGUGAACAAUUAGAUCUUGAAAAAGAAUAGAAGCUAAAAAUGAUUCUUGACCACAAAGGUCGAAAUUGAACUGCAACUUUGUACAUCUAUCGAAGCCAGAUCUAUAUCAAAAAGGUAAAGUAAUCUCAAGAGAGGAAGAAGACACUUAAAGAGAUUUAAAGAGAACAAUCGCCGCUUGGAGAUACCGAAGCAUUCUGCAGCAGGACGUCAAAAUCUUCAAUAAUGAAGAGAACCCUUUGGGUUUCCCAUUUAGGACAAAUAGACAAACCAACCAAAUUGUGACGACAACUAGAUAUGCAAGAAAGAUAGAAGUGAAGAAAGAUUCUCAACCACAAAGGUCGAAGUUGAACCAGAACUUUGUAUAUCUAUGAAAACCAAAUCUAGAUAAAAAUGAAAGACAAUCUCAAGAGAAGAAAACACUUACAGGGAUUCAAAGAGAACAAUCAUGGUUUGGAGAUACCGAAGCAUUCUACAGUAGGACGUCAGAAGCUUUAACAAUGAAGAGAACCCUUUGAGUUUCCUAUUUUGGACAAAGAUACCAACUAACCAAAGAGUGACAAUAGUUAGAUAUGCAAAAAAAAAAAAGCUAAGGAAGAUUCUCGAUAACAGAGGCCGAAGUUGACCCAUAACUUUGUACAUCUAUAGAAACCAGAUCUAAAUAAAAAAAGAAAAGAUAAAAUCUGGAGUGAAAGAAGACACUUACAAGUAUUCAAAGAGAACAAUCACGUCAUGGAGAUACUAGAGCAUUCUACAACAGGACGUCGGAAACAUCAAUAAUGAAUAGAACCCUUUGGGUUUC
rnacentral:lncRNA from 1 species